CAAGGGAGCCUGUGCGCGCCAAAGAAAGAAGUUUGUGAUCCGAGAGGACCAGCCCCACUGUGGACACUCUGAAGCAGACAUGGAAGGGAAACACUGCCUGCCAGAACGCUGGAGCAGAGAAGUGAAACCUACGGCAGAGAUAGCAAUCAUGUAUGGACACAGGGAAAAUUAUGACCAUGCUGGAUAAACUCUGCUCUUCAAAAUUCAAACCAGAAGAAAUGAAGUAAUGAAAUUUUCCUGGAGUGAUAUUUCCCUUAGCAUCUUAUUAUCAUCUAACGUUCCUUUAUGAGGGACUUGCCAGAGCCUGCAAACAGUAUCUCUACUUGUCACUGAGACCUCAAGUACCAUUGGACCUUCUCUGUCAUAUGUCCUCAUGAUGGGAAGAGGAAAGCAAUCUGAGCAGCCAUCUAGACCUGCUGUAGAGCCUUCUUUUGUUCUACGAUCCACUGAAAACUAGCAGUUUUCUGAACCACUUGGCAAAUGGGCUAAAAUGAAACACCUAAGUGAGGAAUGUGUUGUCUAAAAAUUCUAAAUAGCUCUACUAG